UUAAAAAGCUCGUAGUUGGAUUUCUGUGGGGGACACGCGGCCGGCCAUCAGUGGUUGUAGCUAGUGUUGUUUUCUGCAUCUUGUCGCAAUUGCCACUGGCAUUCACUUGUUGGUGUGCAGGACCGACUCAUUUACUUUGAGAAAAUUAGAGUGUUCAAAGCAGGCUAUCGCCUUUGAAUAUGUUAGCAUGGAAUAAUGAUAUAGGACUUUGGUUCUAUUUUGUUGGUUGUUCGAGGACCGAAGUAAUGAUUGAUAGGGACAGUUGGGGGCAUCAGUAUUCUGAAGCGAGAGGUGAAAUUCUUGGACCUUCGGAAGACUAACAGCUGCGAAAGCGUUUGCCUAGGAUGUUCUCUUUAAUCAAGAACGAAAGUUGGGGGAUCGAAGACGAUCAGAUACCGUCGUAGUCUCAACUAUAAACUAUGCCAGCUAAGGAUUGGCGGAUGUUUUAAUUACGACUCCGUCAGCACCUUAUGAGAAAUCAAAGCAUUUGGGUUCCGGGGGGAGUAUGGU
rnacentral:rRNA from 1 species